ACAUUUUCCAAACAAAGCCGAAGGGACGUCCCCGAGAGAGAGAGAUAUUUAAUUCUUGCUCCAUAGAGAGAGAGAGAGAGAGAGAGAGAGAGAGAUUUAAUUCUUGCUCCAUUGCAUGUUCAAAUUGAGGCGAUUGUCAAACUACUUUGCGUGUAUUACUGUACGAGCUGUUAGGGAACAGCGAGCACUGGUUUUUGCUACGGAUUUAGGUUCUUAGAAUGGAAAUGGUUGCUUUCAGUUUGGAUUCUGGACCUUCUGGAUUCUCACUCCAUCCUAACCGGUCCCAAAAAUUCCAAGUAUCCACGGAAUGGAGAAGCUCAAACUGAUUUAAUUGUUGGUUCGACUGUGCAAACAAAGCGAACAUGUUACACGCUCAAGCGCUGACACUUGCGGCGUUAGCCGGAGCUGCUCUUGUGGAGUAUUACGACCAUAGAACAGGAGCAAAGCAGGAGCAUGUUGCUAAGUUACUCAAUCACAGGCAUUCACAGAAAAGUUGAGGCCAUGACUUGAUUAGAUCUUGAUUAGAUGAUCGUGGUUGAAUUACAGGAGGACAUAUACUAAUUUCCUUUCUUUAAUUCCCUCCCCUUUUUGAAGUCUCAAUGUAAGGACGGAAUCAUAUCUUUUAAUGAGGUGAAUGACCGGAUGGAACUAAUUUAUGAACUAGUUUUAAUGUCAAACUAUUUCUC